GAUGAACGCUGGCGGCGUGCUUAACACAUGCAAGUCGAACAAGAAGUGAAGACGGAAACCUUCGGGCGGAAGGCUUUAUUUCGAGUGGCGGACGGGUGAGUAACGCGUGGGUAACCUGCCUCAUACAGGGGGAUAACAGUUGGAAACGACUGUUAAUACCGCAUAAGACCACAGCACCGCAUGGUGCGGGGGUAAAAACUCCGGUGGUAUGAGAUGGACCCGCGUUCGAUUAGCCAGUUGGCGGGGUAACGGCCCACCAAAGCGACGAUCGAUAGCCGAUCUGAGAGGAUGACCGGCCACAUUGGGACUGAGACACGGCCCAAACUCCUACGGGAGGCAGCAGUGGGGAAUAUUGCACAAUGGGGGAAACCCUGAUGCAGCGACGCCGCGUGAGUGAAGAAGUAUUUCGGUAUGUAAAGCUCUAUCAGCAGGGAAGAAAAUGACGGUACCUGAGUAAGAAGCCCCGGCUAACUACGUG
rnacentral:rRNA from 1 species